AACGAACGCUGGCGGCAUGCCUAACACAUGCAAGUCGAACGAGACCUUCGGGUCUAGUGGCGCACGGGUGCGUAACACGUGGGAAUUUGCCUCGGGGUAUGGAAUAACUCAGGGAAACUUGAGCUAAUACCAUAUAAUGUCUUCGGACCAAAGAUUUAUCGCCCUGAGAUAAGCCCGCGUAGGAUUAGCUAGUUGGUGGGUAAAGGCUCACCAAGGCGACGAUCCUUAGCUGGUCUGAGAGGAUGAUCAGCCACACUGGGACUGAGACACGGCCCAGACUCCUACGGGAGGCAGCAGUGGGAAUAUUGGACAAUGGGCGCAAGCCUGAUCCAGCCAUGCCGCGUGCAGGAAGAAGCAUCUAUGGUGUGUAAACUGCUUUGUACGGGAAGAAACACUCCUACGUGUAGGAGCUUGACGGUACCGUAAGAAUAAGGAUCGGCUAACUCCGUGCCAGCAGCGCGGUAAAGUGACUACUG
rnacentral:rRNA from 1 species